UCAGUGUGUUACAUCACCAUCGUUCUCAGAGGUUUUGUGCUGUUAGGCCUUUUCCAAGUUCAUUUAUUUUGUUUUCUCAUGCUGUUCGUUACCGACAUCAAUUAUUAUGAAGUAUUCAAAGGGGGGGGGGGGGGUGGAGCAUCAAAAUGCAUCAAAAGCAAAGCAUACAUCAGAGUACUUGUAUACUUAGUUUCCGCUAAGCAAACGUCCAAUUCCAAGCUUGAUUUCAGUCAGUAACUCAUGACAAGAGGCACACAAAAACAAGAAGAUGUGGGGAGAGGAGAAAGGGAGCGACACAAAGCUAAUGACUUUCCUCCAGGCACUCUCCGCGGCUGCUUAGAUGCUUUGUGGUGAUGCAUGGCAUGGCCUCUGAGAUGUGGCAGGACGAGAUUGGUGGAGUGAGGCACUGAGCGUGCCAUGCAGAGGGACGUUCAUCAGUGCCACAGCAGCAGGAAAGCAGGGACUGAUGCCACAAGUGGAGCUCGGCGGGAUACAGGAGAACCAAGACAUGGCUGGCCCAGCCUCCCUCCCUCUCCUUCUGCAACAUGGAGUUCUCUGGUAUCUCUGGACUGCUCCUCUUGUCCCACAUUCUGCAGUGUGAGCCUUUUUCUGCACACUGACAACCUGGUGAAAAACAGCCUCCUCCUCCAGGCAGACUGAACAUCUGUCUAUUCCACUGAUGCCCACAGAUGGGAGACCCAGUAGGAGCCCAGAUCCACACAACCCAAAAAGAGCAAGCAACAAACACAAGAUACUUAAUAACUUUAAGCAUGCAACAUUGUACCUUUUUUCCCUUCUGGCUGACUAACUGAUAUAUUUGAAUGGAUUUUCCACAAAAAAAAAAAAAAUAAUAAUAAUAAUAAUUUGCAUGGCCGUUUUAACUUUGAUGUUUGUGUCAUUAUGGUAUAUUUAUGAAUUUUCAUACAUGGAAUGAAUUAAAUGAAUAAAGAUGUUUUUAAUCAGCA